CUAUAGUGAACAACUGUGUUACUGUGUAUAUAAUAUUUUCAUUUUAGGUAAAGGCGGUCCAAAUGGCAAGACUGAGUUUAGUAGAAUACUUGGAGUAUCUUAAAGGUACAAACACUUCUAGAAGUGUUUAUGAAGGUGAAGAAGUUUUAAAUGCUGGUCACAUAAUAAAAAUGUUACAUGUUAUUCGCAUGACUAAUAAACUUUAGUUG